AUUGAACGCUGGCGGCAUGCCUUACACAUGCAAGUCGAACGGCAGCGGGGACUUCGGUCCGCCGGCGAGUGGCGAACGGGUGAGUAAUGUAUCGGAACGUACCAUUCAGUGGGGGAUAACUAUCCGAAAGGAUAGCUAAUACCGCAUAUUCUGUGAGAAGGAAAGCAGGGGAUCGCAAGACCUUGCGCUGAUUGAGCGGCCGAUAUCAGAUUAGCUAGUUGGUGAGGUAACGGCUCACCAAGGCUACGAUCUGUAGCGGGUCUGAGAGGAUGAUCCGCCACACUGGGACUGAGACACGGCCCAGACUCCUACGGGAGGCAGCAGUGGGGAAUUUUGGACAAUGGGCGCAAGCCUGAUCCAGCCAUGCCGCGUGAGUGAAGAAGGCCUUCGGGUUGUAAAGCUCUUUCGGCCGGGAAGAAAUCGCAUCAGCUAAUACCUGGUGUGGAUGACGGUACCGGAAUAAGAAGCACCGGCUAACUACGUGCCAGCAGCCGCGGUAAAAC
rnacentral:rRNA from 1 species